rnacentral:rRNA from 1 species
AUUGAACGCUGGCGGCAUGCCUUACACAUGCAAGUCGAACGGCAGCACGGGGGCAACCCUGGUGGCGAGUGGCGAACGGGUGAGUAAAGCAUCGGAACGUGCCCGGAAGUGGGGGAUAACGUAGCGAAAGUUACGCUACUACCGCAUAUUCUGUGAGCAGGAAAGAGGGGGAUCGCAAGACCUCUCGCUUUCGGAGCGGCCGAUGUCGGAUUAGCUAGGUGGAGAGGUAAAGGCUUACCAAGGCGACGAUCCGUAGCUGGUCUUAGAGGAUGAUCAGCCACACUGGGACUGAUAAACGGCCCAGACUCCUACGGGAGGCAGCAGUGGGGAAUUUUGGACAAUGGGGGCAACCCUGAUCCAGCCAUGCCGCGUGAGUGAAGAAGGCCUUCGGGUUGUAAAGCUCUUACGGACAGAAAGAAAUCGCACGGUUUAAUACACUGUGUGGAUGACGGUACUGUCAUAAGAAGCACCGGCUAACUACGUGCCAGCAGCCGCAGUAAUAC